rnacentral:tRNA from 1 species
CGGGACGUGGCGCAGUCUGGUAGCGCACCCGGCUGGGGGCCGGGCGGUCGCUGGUUCGAAUCCAGUCGUCCCGACCA